AUAUUUAUGUUCGUGUGUGAAGUUUCAAAAAAACGUUUUGAUAAGAUCGGCUGAAUAACACGUUGUCUUGACCUCUAUGGUAGGACGGGUGUUACACUACCGCACACGUUGGGGACUUCGAAUUGUGUUUCGUCGGUCAUUUCCGCAGCUAAUUCUUUUAUGAGGGUGGAUUGCACAGCCUCUGCUUGAUCGAUCUCAACGAGCUGGCCGUCAGAGCUUUUCAGAACCAGUUUCUUAGACGACAUUUUUUUAUUAAGAGAGAGGAAAACAAUAAAGUUAGGGAGAGAGAAGAUGUAAUUACAAGUAUUAGGAGAGAGCACUAGAAGUAUUUUAUAAUGGAGAAACCUAAAAGUUUAUAAUUUUUCCUCAAAAAGACCUAAAAGUUUAUAAUACAAAAGAAUAAUUAAUCUUAACUUCACCGAUUUAUUAAUUUUAUACUUGUCCAUUUCUUUUUAUUUUUUUGGUGGUACAUGCAUGCAUGUGAACUAUAUUCUUUGUUGUUGAUGCAUGUAACGUUUAAGAUCAGAUUACUACUAGAGAAGAAGAUGUUUAAAAUUUCUUGAUGAACUUCCGAAAUGAUUUUUUCUUGAGUUUUAUAGGAUCCUUCCUUAA
rnacentral:lncRNA from 1 species